AACGUAGGGGACAAGCGUUAUCCGGAUUACUGGGCGUAAAGCGCCCGUAGGCGGCUUAACAAGUUGGAUGUGAAAGCUCCCGGCUUAACUGGGAGAGGUCAUUCAAAACUGUUAGGCUAGAGGAUGGAAGAGGAGAGCGGAAUUCCCGGUGUAGUGGUGGAAUGCGUAGAGAUCGGGAGGAACACCAGUGGCGAAAGCGGCUCUCUGGUUCACACCUGACGCUGAGGGGCGAAAGCGUGGGGAGCGAACGGGG
rnacentral:rRNA from 1 species